UGUGCUAGGCGGGGAGCCAGCGGUGCCCUGUACCUACAAUCCGCUACAGUAGGGCUGACAUGCCGCCCGCGGUAUGUCUUGUGGAAGGCCGUUACCGUAUAAGUGGCGAUGAUACCAAGGUCUUGUGCAACGUUAUACCGUGAACCGUGUCAGGGCGGGGACGCAGCAGCACUAAGCGGACCAUGACGUGUGCCACAAGGUAGCUUUGGAGGAGUUAACUGUCGGGA
rnacentral:SRP_RNA from 1 species